rnacentral:tmRNA from 1 species
UACGGAUUCGACAGGGGUAGUUCGAGCUUAGGUUGCGAGUCGAGGGGAUCGGCCUCGUUAAAACGUCAAAGCCAAUAACUGGCAACUCAAACAAAUCUUUCGCUUUAGCAGCUUAAUAAGCGCUUAGCGGUUCCUCCCUCCAUCGUCCAUGUGGUAGGGUAAGGGACUCACUCUUAGUGGACUACGCCGGAUCUCGCCGUCUGAGGGAGAAGGAAGAGAACAACCAGACUAGCUGCUCGGCCGCCUGUCGGUAGGCAAAAGAUGCAGCGAAACGCCAAUAUGCCGACUACACUCGUAGAAGCUUAAGUGCCGAUAUUUCUGGACGUGGGUUCGAUUA